ACUGAGAAGUCGUCCGUGCAAAUCGAACCAUUUUGAAACCUAAUAGCUAGCCUACUACCCUAAACCCAAUAAACCC
rnacentral:tRNA from 3 species